rnacentral:rRNA from 1 species
AGAGUUUGAUCAUGGCUCAGGAUGAACGCUAGCGGCAGGCCUAAUACAUGCAAGUCGAGGGGUAAGGUUUACUUCGGUAAACACACGACCGGCGCACGGGUGAGUAACGCGUAUGCAACCUACCUAUAACUGGGAGAUAGCCCCGAGAAAUCGGGAUUAAUACCCCAUAAUAAUACUUUUUGGCAUCAUUUAGUAUUUAAAGCUCCGGCGGUUAUAGAUGGGCAUGCGUGACAUUAGUUAGUUGGUGAGGUAACGGCUCACCAAGACCACGAUGUCUAGGGGUUCUGAGAGGAAGAUCCCCCACACUGGUACUGAGACACGGACCAGACUCCUACGGGAGGCAGCAGUAAGGAAUAUUGCGCAAUGGAGGAAACUCUGACGCAGCCAUGCCGCGUGAAGGAUGACGGCCUUAUGGGUUGUAAACUUCUUUUGUUAGGGAAUAAACCUCCACUCGUGAGUGGAGCUGAAGGUACCUAAAGAAUAAGCACCGGCUAACUCCGUGCCAGCAGCCGCGGUAAUACGGAGGGUGCAAGCGUUAUCCGGAUUCAUUGGGUUUAAAGGGUGCGCAGGCGGACUUUUAAGUCAGUGGUGAAAUCCCGGGGCUCAACCCCGGAACUGCCAUUGAUACUGGAAGUCUUGAAUUUGGUUGAAGUGGGCGGAAUGUANCAUGUAUCGGUGAAAUGCUUANAUAUGCUACAGAACCACCGAUCGCGAAGGCAGCUCCUAAGCCAAUAUUGACGCUCAGGCACGAAAGCGUGGG